GAUGAACGCUGACAGAAUGCUUAACACAUGCAAGUCAACUCGAACUUCGGUUUGGGUGGCGGACGGGUGAGUAACGCGUAAAGAACUUGCCUCACAGUUAGGGACAACAUUUGGAAACGAAUGCUAAUACCUGAUAUUAUGAUUUUAGGGCAUCCUAGAAUUAUGAAAGCUAUAUGCGCUGUGAGAGAGCUUUGCGUCCCAUUAGCUAGUUGGAGAGGUAACGGCUCACCAAGGCGAUGAUGGGUAGCCGGCCUGAGAGGGUGAACGGCCACAAGGGGACUGAGACACGGCCCUUACUCCUACGGGAGGCAGCAGUGGGGAAUAUUGGACAAUGGACCAAGAGUCUGAUCCAGCAAUUCUGUGUGCACGAUGAAGUUUUUCGGAAUGUAAAGUGCUUUCAGUUGGGAAGAAAAAAAUGACGGUACCAACAGAAGAAGUGACGGCUAAAUACGUG
rnacentral:rRNA from 1 species